UAGCUCAAGUGGUAGAGUGCAUGCUUAGCAUGCAUGAGUUCCUGGGUUCAAGCCCCAG
rnacentral:tRNA from 1 species